UAUCUCUGUAGAGUCUGCAUAUCAAUAAGCGGAGGAAAAGAAACUAACUAGGAUUCCCUCAGUAACGGCGAGUGAAGCGGGAAGAGCUCAAAUUUGAAAUCUUCAAGGUUUCUACCUUGACGAAUUGUAGUUUAAAGAAGUGUUUUCUGUUGGUGUUUUGGUAAAAGUUCUUUGGAAUAGGACAUCAUAGAGGGUGAGAAUCCCGUAUUUGACCAUUACUUCCAGCUUUGUGAUACACUUUCAAAGAGUCGGAUUGUUUGGGAAUGCAGUCCAAAAUGGGUGGUAAAUUUCAUCUAAAGCUAAAUACUGGCGAGAGACCGAUAGCGAACAAGUACCGUGAGGGAAAGAUGAAAAGAACUUUGAAAAGAGAGUUAAACAGUACGUGAAAUUGUCAAAAGGGAAGCGUUUGACACCAGUGUUGUUUUCUCGAAAAUCAAUUAAAAAAGGCAGGAUUUUGUGUUGUAUUGACUUUAUCAGCUUUCUGCACUCUUUUCUUGUCUUUUUUAAUGCACUUUUCGUUUAACAAGUCAACAUCAAUUUCUUUUGUUGUAAAAGGGUCAUUGGAAGGUGGCUUUCUUUUCGGAGAAAGUGUUUAUAGCCCUAUACUUCUACAAUCGGAGAGAUUGAGGUCUGCAGCGUAGAUCCUUCGGGGUUAGAUACACUUGUGCUAAGUUGUAGCUUUUCAUAGACAACUUGUUGACUAUGUUUAGUCAUGCGGCUUACUCGCUUAUGCUAUUUUACCUACGCUUAGGAUGUUGAAGAUGUAGCACAUCAU
rnacentral:rRNA from 1 species